rnacentral:tRNA from 1 species
GGGGUUGUGGCUCAGCUGUAGAGCGCUCGCCUAGCACGUGCAAGGCCUGAGUUCGAACCUCAGCACCA